rfam:Otolemur garnettii contig068699, whole genome shotgun sequence.
ACAAAGGAUUUUUUAGAAUCCAUCUUCUGGCAAAAUCAGCAAGAAU